rnacentral:rRNA from 1 species
AACGUAGGAGACGAACGUUAUCCGGAGUUACUGGGCGUAAAGGGCGCGUAGGCGGCCCUCUUUGUCGCGUGUGAAAGCCCCGGGCUCAACCUGGGAAUUGCGCGCGAAACGGGGGGGCUUGAGUUCGGGAGAGGAGCGUGGAAUUCCCAGUGUAGAGGUGAAAUUCGUAGAUAUUGGGAAGAACACCGGUGGCGAAGGCGGCGCUCUGGACCGAGACUGACGCUGAGGCGCGAAAGCGUGGGGAGCAAACAGG